rnacentral:rRNA from 1 species
UACAGAGGUCUCAAGCGUUGUUCGGAUUCAUUGGGCGUAAAGAGCGCGCAGGCGGUCGUAUAAGUCGAAUGUGAAAGCCCCUGGCUCAACUAGGGAGAGUCAUUCGAUACUGUUCGACUCGAAGGCAGGAGAGGGAAGUGGAAUUCCCGGUGUAGUGGUGAAAUGCGUAGAUAUCGGGAGGAACACCAGUGGCGAAGGCGACUUCCUGGCCUGUUCUUGACGCUGAGGCGCGAAAGCUAGGGGAGCAAACGGG